ACCCUUACUUAACAAAAGGGAUCUCAUGCUCAGGAAGGUGGCUUUCUCAGGGUGAGUUUUGCCCGUUGAACUUGGAAUGCACUGGCUUCUGUGAUGUCUCUAAAUGUGGAAAACACAGCUGUAUAAUUUUUGGUAGUUGGGGACUGGGUUCACUGACGUUCUUCCCUGAU